GGGGCUAUGGCGCAGUUGGGAGCGCGUCUGACUGGCAGUCAGAAGGUCGAGGGUUCGAAUCCCUCUAGCUCCA
rnacentral:tRNA from 1 species